AUUGAACGCUGGCGGAAUGCUUUACACAUGCAAGUCGAACGGCAGCACGGGUGCUUGCACCUGGUGGCGAGUGGCGAACGGGUGAGUAAUGCACCGGAACGUAUCCAAUAAUGGGGGAUAACGCACCGAAAGGUGUGCUAAUACCGCAUACGCCCUGAGGGGGAAAGCGGGGGAUCGUAAGACCUCGCGUUAAUGGAGCGGCCGAUGCCGGAUUAGCUAGUUGGUGAGGUAAAGGCUCACCAAGGCGACGAUCCGUAGCUGGUCUGAGAGGACGACCAGCCACACUGGAACUGAGACACGGUCCAGACUCCUACGGAGGCAGCAGUGGGGAAUUUUGGACAAUGGGCGCAAGCCUGAUCCAGCCAUUCCGCGUGAGUGAAGAAGGCCUU
rnacentral:rRNA from 1 species